rnacentral:rRNA from 1 species
AGUGAACGCUGGCGGUAGGCCUAACACAUGCAAGUCGAACGGCAGCACAGUAAGAGCUUGCUCUUACGGGUGGCGAGUGGCGGACGGGCGAGGAAUACAUCGGAAUCUACUUUUUCGUGGGGGAUAACGUAGGGAAACUUACGCUAAUACCGCAUACGACCUACGGGUGAAAGCAGGGGACCUUCGGACCUUGCGCGAUUGAAUGAGCCGAUGUCGGAUUAGCUAGUUGGCGGGGUAAAGGCCCACCAAGGCGACGAUCCGUAGCUGGUCUGAGAGGAUGAUCAGCCACACUGGAACUGAGACACGGUCCAGACUCCUACGGGAGGCAGCAGUGGGGAAUAUUGGACAAUGGGCGCAAGCCUGAUCCAGCCAUACCGCGUGGGUGAAGAAGGCCUUCGGGUUGUAAAGCCCUUUUGUUGGGAAAGAAAAGCAGCAGGUUAAUACCCCGCUGUUCUGACGGUACCCAAAGAAUAAGCACCGGCUAACUUCGUG